UGCGGUGCAUUAGCUAGUUGGUAAGGGUAACGGGCUUACCAAGGCAAUGAUGCAUAGCCCGAGUUGAGAGACUGAUCGGGCCACAUUGGGGACUGAGACACGGGACCCAAAACUCCUACGGGGAGGCAGCAGUAGGGAAUCUUCCACAAUGGACGCAAGUCUGAUGGAGCAACGCCGCGUGAGUGAAGAAGGGUUUCGGCUACGUAAAGCUCUGUUGGUAGUGAAGAAAGAUAGAGGUAGUAACUGGCCUUUAUUUGACGGUUAAUUACUUAGAAGUCACGGCUAACUACGUGCCAGCAGCCGCGGUAAU
rnacentral:rRNA from 1 species